CUUAGUACAUAAGUACAAAUUUAAACAACUUAAAAAUAACACUUGAAUAUAAAACAUAGUACAACAAUCACAAGUACUUUAAUAAAAUCAUAUCCUGGGGUAUGUCGCAUUCGUAGUUCGUCUUCAAACAAUCACCUUUUUAUUUUUACAUUCUUGCAUUUGUUCAAGUUCUUUAGGAGACAAUUGAAAUGUAAUGGACAAACAUUUGACCUCCAAUCUUAACUUC
rnacentral:lncRNA from 1 species